rnacentral:rRNA from 1 species
UGCGGGGCGGCGGGCUACCAUGCAGUCGAGCGGUAACAGGGGUAGCUUGCUACCCGCUGACGAGCGGCGGACGGGUGAGUAAUGCAUAGGAAUCUGCCCGAUAGUGGGGGAUAACCUGGGGAAACCCAGGCUAAUACCGCAUACGUCCUACGGGAGAAAGGGGGCUCCGGCUCCCGCUAUUGGAUGAGCCUAUGUCGGAUUAGCUAGUUGGUGAGGUAAUGGCUUACCAAGGCAACGAUCCGUAGCUGGUCUGAGAGGAUGAUCAGCCACAUCGGGACUGAGACACGGCCCGAACUCCUACGGGAGGCAGCAGUGGGGAAUAUUGGACAAUGGGGGCAACCCUGAUCCAGCCAUGCCGCGUGUGUGAAGAAGGCCCUCGGGUUGUAAAGCACUUUCAGCGAGGAAGAACGCCUAUCGGUUAAUACCCGGUAGGAAAGACAUCACUCGCAGAAGAAGCACCGGCUAACUCCGUGCCAGCAGCCGCGGUAAUACGGAGGGUGCAAGCGUUAAUCGGAAUUACUGGGCGUAAAGCGCGCGUAGGUGGCUUGAUAAGCCGGUUGUGAAAGCCCCGGGCUCAACCUGGGAACGGCAUCCGGAACUGUCAGGCUAGAGUGCAGGAGAGGAAGGUAGAAUUCCCGGUGUAGCGGUGAAAUGCGUAGAGAUCGGGAGGAAUACCAGUGGCGAAGGCGGCCUUCUGGACUGACACUGACACUGAGGUGCGAAAGCGUGGGUAGCAAACAGGAUUAGAUACCCUUGGUAGUC